UCCUCAUUACAUAAAAAUUUCAGCCGUAGCACAACCUUCUCUCUGAUCUCUCACUUUCUCUCUCUAUUGACAGCCAUGGCCAUCACCACUCACCCCACCAGUGACGGACAACCAGCAAUAUCCUCCUCAUCCCUCUCGUCUUUACCUCCGUCCCUUGUUACCAAGCGUCACUAGCCAUCCACCGGGCAACUUCUAGCACCACCAAUAAAGCCGAUAAUGGCUUCCGCUCUACUCUUUUUCCCAUUUUGACAAACCAAACACCAGCGUACAGUGCUGCCACCACUGGCAACCAAUAAGAACUGCCAAAACAGCUCCAAAAUCAGCCGGCUACCAUGGCCGAUGAACGGUGAACCGUACCUAUCCUAUAAAUCAGCCUCCACCGAAUCAACAGCCAGAUUUUCUACCGCCACCAAUCACUGCCUCCACCAUUGAUAAAUCUCCACCAAUAAAUAACAUCGCAAUCCGACUAUUCCGGCCAAAUUUGGUAGAAAACAAGUAUAAAUUCCAUAAUAGAUUUUUAUAAAUCCAUCUCAGGUUGGGAUUUGAAGAGUCGCUCGAAGGGUUUGGGAGGGACUACAUUACUCCCUUCUAGUUUAGUUGUUUCUUUCUCUUUAUAUUGGCCUGUAAUGUUGUAUAAAUGCUAUUUUAUUGUAAUAAUAAUAAUUGGGGACUGCAUGGGGGCGGAAAUUUACGUGCUCUAGUAAUCACGUAGGCAACAUAACUUAAGUUUAUGUAUUUAUGUGCUUUUAUGUGUUUAUGUGAAUCUCUCAA